GACGAACGCUGGCGGCGUGCUUAGCACAUGCAAGUCGAACGGAAAGGCCCUGCUUUUGUGGGGUGCUCGAGUGGCGAACGGGUGAGUAACACGUGAGUAACCUGCCCUUGACUUUGGGAUAACUUCAGGAAACUGGGGCUAAUACCGGAUAGGAGCUCCUGCUGCAUGGUGGGGGUUGGAAAGUUUCGGCGGUUGGGGAUGGACUCGCGGCUUAUCAGCUUGUUGGUGGGGUAGUGGCUUACCAAGGCUUUGACGGGUAGCCGGCCUGAGAGGGUGAACGGCCACAUUGGGCCUGAGAUACGGCCCAGACUCCUACGGGAGGCAGCAGUGGGGAAUAUUGCACAAUGGGCGGAAGCCUGAUGAAGCAACGCCGCGUGCGGGAUGACGGCCUUCGGGUUGUAAACCGCUUUCGCCUGUGACGAAGCGUGAGUGACGGUAAUGGGUAAAGAAGCACCGGCUAACUACGUG
rnacentral:rRNA from 1 species